rnacentral:rRNA from 1 species
GGCGGCGUGGCUAAAACAUGCAAGUCGAACGGACUAUCCUGAAGAGUAAUCAGAAGGAUAGUUAGUGGCGGAAGGGUUAGUAAUGGCUAGGAACGUACCCCGUGCUUCGGGAUAGCCAUUCGAAAGGAUGGGUAAUACCGAAUAAUGUCGAGAGACCAAAGAUUUAUCGGCAUGGGAGCGGCCUAGUUCCUAUCAGCUUGUUGGUGAGGUAAAAGCUCACCAAGGCAAUGACGGGUAGCGGGACUGAGAGGUUGGCCCGCAACAUCGGGACUGAGACACUGCCUGGACCUCCACGGAGGGCUGCAGUAACGAAUAUUGGGCAAUGGGCGAAAGCCUGACCCAGCGACGCCGCGUGCGGGAGGAAGUCCUUCGGGAUGUAAACCGCUUUUCGGAGUAAGAAAGUCUUCGGAUUGAUCUAGUCCGGAAUAAGUCACGGCUAACUUCGUGCCAGCAGCCGCGGUAAGACGAAGGUGGCAAGCGUUGUUCGGUAUUACUGGGCUUAAAGCGUGUGUAGGCGGAAAUGUAAGCGUUUUGUGAAAUCCCUCGGCUCAACCGAGGAAUUGCUUGACGAACUACAUUUCUUGAGGCAAGUAGGGGUGCGCGGAACUCUUGGUGGAGCGGUGGAAUGCGUAGAUAUCAAGAGGAACGCCGGAGGUGAAGACGGUGCACUGGGCUUGUCCUGACGCUGAGACACGAAAGCGUGGGGAGCAAACAGGAUUAGAUACCCUGGUAGUCCACGCUGUAAACGAUGCCUACUAGGUCGUGGUGGUUCUGACGCCGUCACAGCCGAAGCAAAAGUGUUAAGUAGGCCGCCUGGGGAGUACGGUCGCAAGGCUAAAACUCAAAGGAAUUGACGGGGGCUCACACAAGCGGUGGAGCAUGUGGAUUAAUUCGAAGCAACGCGCAGAACCUUACCUGGGUUUGACAUGCUUAGGAAUCUUCCCGAAAGGGAAGAGUGCCUUCGGGAGCCUUUGCACAGGUGCUGCAUGGCUGUCGUCAGCUCGUGUCGUGAGAUGUUGGGUUACUCCUUUAACGAGCGAAACCCUUACCGCUAGUUGCCAGCGAGUCAAGUCGGGGACUCUAGCGGGACUGCCGGUGUUAAACCGGAGGAAGGUGGGGAUGACGUCAAGUCCUCAUGGCCUUUAUGCCCAGGCUUCACACGUGCUACAAUGGUCGAUACAAAGCGACGCAAGACCGUGAGGUGGAGCAAAUCGCAAAAAGUCGGCCUCAGUUCGGAUUGCAGGCUGGCAACUCGCCUGCAUGAAGGUGGAAUCGCUAGUAAUCGCGUAUCAGCUAUGACGCGGUGAAUGUGUUCCUGAGCCUUGUACACACCGCCCGUCAAGUGAUGGGAGUUGGGAGUACCCGAAGUCGGGUUGCUAACCAUUAGGAAGCGCCUGCCGACGGUAAGCCCGAUGACUGGCACUAAGUCGUAACAAGGUA